rnacentral:rRNA from 1 species
UACGAAGGGGGCUAGCGUUGCUCGGAAUCACUGGGCGUAAAGGGUGCGUAGGCGGGUCUUUUAAGUCAGGGGUGAAAUACGGCAGCUCAACUGUCGAGGUGCCAUUGAUACUGGGAAACUUGAGUACUGAUGAGGUAGGCGGAAUGGACGGUGUAGCGGUGAAAUGCUUAGAUAUCGUCCAGAACACCGAUAGCGAAGGCAGCUUACUAAGGAGUAACUGACGCUGAGGCACGAAAGUGUGGGGAUCAAACAGG